UACAUAAAAUUAUUGGCAAAAAUAUAAAAGAACAUCCCCAUCAAUACUCUCAUUUUUCAUUUUUUCUCUCUGCCUUUCAAAAUUUAUAUUUUAUUCCCUUAAAAUUUUAAUUUGAUGCAUUUAAUUUUCCUUCGUCAGAGUUUCGUCACUAUUCUCUCCCGUUCUUAUAAUUUAUACCGAAAAUACUUUGUAAAAUGAUAGAAAUAUACUAUUUUUUAUAUAUAUAUAUAGAGCAAGUAAGAGCAAUUUUGUUAUUUCUUCAUCUUUAGCUAUUAACGCAUAACCUUGCGAAAAUAUUUUUUUAAUUUUAGAGGUGCAAAAUUU
rnacentral:lncRNA from 1 species